GUCGUGAAAGAUUGUUUGGCUGCUGGGGGAGAAUGUCCUGGAGCAGGUGAUCAGCAAGGAGGGAGGCUGUUGCUGUGGCUCUGGUGAAAGGUGAUGGAGGCAGGGACCGGGCGGUGGCUGAUGGGAGACAGGCAGAGCCACCGGGCUGGUGAUGGACCGGCUCAGAUCCAGUGGGUGGAAGGAGGUGUCAAGGAUAACAUCUUUGUUUCUGGCCUGGAUAGUGGGGCCCUGGCCACCUCGGUGUGCCCCUUCGUCUCCGGGGUCUCCAGGGGCCUGCUGCUGUCCACUGGGCUCUCAGGACCCAGCUGCAUGAUGCCACCUAAACUGCAGGGCCCUCCAAGUCCCCAGCACCAGCGGGGCAGCACCGGUAGGGCCUGGACCUCUUUGAGAAUAUGUUGAAAAGCUGACAUCAACCUCGACGCUGUGGAUGUUGGGCCUGAUCAUUCUUUGGGGUGGGUCUGUCCUGGGCACUGCAGGGUGCUAAGCAGCCUCCACCCAGUCCCCAGUGGUGACACCCAAAACUGUGUCCAGACAUUGACAGGUGUCUCCAGGAGGGAGACUCGCCUCCAUCUGAGAAGCAGAACCAGCCUGACAGUCCACCUCCCGGCUGAAAAGUGCUUGCAUGUGCGAUUUGCCUUCCGCCUGGGAGUCUGGGGGCACUGGGAUGCCAUCCUUGCCCCACCCUGGCUUUCAGAGCUCUCUCCUCUCCUCCUCGUGUGCCCAUGAGUCCGGCUCACAGGAACGUGGGUCUCACAUCAGGUCCUGAGGGAGCAGGUGUGUUUCUGGGCCUGAGGCUGCUCCUUGGUAGUGAGGGUGUCCCCACGAGCCGUGUCUGUGGCGCCUGCAGCUGCCUGCAUGUCCAUCUGUGUCCACAUCUGCCUUUGAGCCUCAUCUUCCUGGCCCCACGGUUUUCUCAUGCUGUGACCCAAAAGCCAAGCAUUCCAGGGUGUUCUGCUGAAAUUGAGUUGUGAGCGUGUCUCUCUCCUCGCUCCAGUCUGAAGGAGAAGCGUGGUCGGUAGAUAGACGUCUCAGACCUUCGUGUUUUCUUCACGUCUGUCUGUUGGCAGGUCCUUACACUAUUGUGGUUGCUUUAGCAACUUAGCUGUUGUCGACUUAAUGUGUUUCAUGACGUUCUGCAGCAAGGAAGAAGGUCCGAGUUUCCACUCUCAAUCAGGCACCUUCGUUCCCCUCCCCCCUCACUUGACUUCCUGUGGGGUGUGUGGUGUCUGCACUUAUAGAUGAGAAUGCUGAGGCCUCAGGAGGGCAAGGGACUCGCCCACGGUCACGGAACCCUAAGUCAGGGGUGGAGAAGGACCCCCUGACGCCAGCCCACCUCCCCUGCCCCUCAGCAGGCCUGGCUCCAGCACAGAGAAGAGCCAUUGUUGCUGCUCUGGGGGCCCUAGGAGCCUGGGAUGUAUCCUGCCUUUGUUUCUAGAGCCUUUGUUUGUUGUAUUUCCUCUGUCUCCAGACAUCGCAGGCCGGUGGGACCCGGCGCCUGUGCACGCUCACGUAGCGGGGCCUGUUCGGGUCCCUCGUGGGUCCCUUCAGUUCGAGCUCUGUCCUUGCCUCAGCGGCCCGUCACCCAUAGGGUGGCAGAGAUGGGCCGGGGGAGGGAGUGGGCAGCAGUGCGGACCGAGUCCUGGCGCAUGGGGUUUCCCUGGUGCUGGAGCCGGGCGUUUCGGGGGUGUGGGCGGGGCUGGGGUCAUAUCCCCUGCAUGCCCCGCAUGCCAUGGCUGUACUCACAUGGCAAGAGGUGGUGAUCGCCAGCUCAGGGAAGGUGGGGGUUCCUUCAUCCUGUGGAGAGGGGGCUGAAUUGGGGUCCCCUGAGCUGUAGGGUGCAGUGCCUGACAGGCCGUGGGGAGGGCCGAGGGGAUGGGGACUGACAGGCCCCGGGCCCAUGCCGCCCCCUGGCACGGGUGGAUGCCCCGCCUCCCGGGGGUGCCCAGCUGGACUGUGGCACCCCCAAAGGACCCCACAUGUCACUGUUCCCCCGCAGGGCUUCCCACGGCACGACAUGGAGACCUGUGGUUGCGAGGCUCCCUGGGGCUCGGCUUGGACCGCGAUGGGGCUGGGCCCUGGCCUCCUAACGGGGCUGCUGUCUGGGGCGGUAGCUGGGGGGGCGCUCUCCCCCCUGCCCGCGACUCGGAGCACCCCCACCCCUCCCCUGCCGGGCCAGGCCGGGCGGCGUUGUUGGCGGGGGCCCCGGUGGAGGCCCGGCCUGGGCGGCGCCCGCCAUGAAUGGGCUGUCGCUGAGUGAGCUCUGCUGCCUCUUCUGCUGCCCGCCCUGCCCCGGCCGCAUCGCUGCCAAGCUCGCCUUCCUGCCGCCGGAGGCCACCUACUCCCUGGUGCCUGAGCCCGAGCCGGGGCCUGGUGGGGCCGGGGCCGCCCCCUUGGGGACCCUGAGAGCCUCCUCGGGCGCACCCGGGCGCUGGAAGCUGCACCUGACGGAGCGUGCCGACUUCCAGUACAGCCAGCGCGAGCUGGACACCAUCGAGGUCUUCCCCACCAAGAGCGCCCGCGGCAACCGCGUCUCCUGCAUGUAUGUUCGCUGCGUGCCUGGUGCCAGGUACACGGUCCUCUUCUCGCACGGCAAUGCCGUGGACCUGGGCCAGAUGAGCAGCUUCUACAUUGGCCUGGGCUCCCGCCUCCACUGCAACAUCUUCUCCUACGACUACUCCGGCUACGGUGCCAGCUCGGGCAGGCCUUCCGAGAGGAACCUCUAUGCCGACAUCGACGCCGCCUGGCAGGCCCUGCGCACCAGGUGAGGGCGACCCUGGGGGCAGCUCAGCCUGGGCACACCCAAGAGGGGACCAGGCGGGGGGCCGGGGGGCGGGCUUCCCUGGGAGGAAGGUGGGCGGCCCUGCAGGAGGGGAGCCACAGUGGAUGCACAGGGCCAGAGAGCCGGACAGGCGAGCUUGGGUGUGCAGGUGCCGCCUCCACAUGGCUGAGGUGUGGCCAGGCGGUCCUCCCACACCCUGGCCUGUGGAGCCAGGUUCCCUGGGAACCCCUGGCCUGAGGAUGGGAAGGGGCUGAGCUUGUCACAGGGGUGUGGAUGCCACCCGGCGGGAGGGAGUGGGUGGUGGUCUGGGGGUCUGUGCACGUGUGGCUGGGAGCCCAUCGGCCGAGGCAGCACUUGGGGCCAAGUGAGGCGAGGCUGCUGCAUCCAGGUCCGGAGGACUGGCCCAUGAGGCCCUGUGGCUGCGGAGCUUGGCCAUCCUGGGGCAGGGCCUACAGGGUAAGGUGCAGACCCGCAGCACACAUCCGAGGUCUGGGCCAGCCUCGAUUCCAGAUCCAGCCCUCCUAGUCAUCCACGUCCCCAGCCCUGCGCUUGCCUGGGCCCUUCACCGGUGUUUGAGCACCGCCCGGGCCAGUGCUGCUUUGGACGAGGAGACCCGGGUGGGCCUCUGGUGGCUUUUCCUGCUCACCAUCCACUGGGCCUGUCUCGUCCUGGCCCUGCCCAGCCCACUGGUCUGACCUGCUCCCACAGGGACCAGGCACAGCUCUGAGAAGUCAGAGGCCCUAGGGAGGUGGGGUCGUCGUUGCCUUGGUGAUAUGCAGGCAGUCCCUGCAGUGGGCCUGGGAGCUGGUCCCCUGGCACCACCCUGGCUCUGGGGGCCUCCCAGCAGUGUGGGACGCUGACACCAAUCACCACUUCAUGCGACUUCCUCGGCCCCUCCUGUCUCUACUGCCUGGGCCACUGGCAGAGUCACACCUGCCAUGGCCAGCUCUGAGCUCUGUCUGCUCGGCCAUCUGUCCUGCUGCCACUUUGUCCUGCAGGAACCUAGGCCCAGAGCUGUGAGGGGGAGGCCAGAGCGUGCCCAGGGCCUCCACCGGGGAUGUGUCCUGUUCGUUUGAGUGGUGACAUCCAGGUGGCAGCUCGGGGCUCCUGCCUGUAGCAGGUGGCAGGGCUGGGCUGGCUCAGCACACUACUGACCAUGGCUGCCAGGGAGCAGGCCAGGGAGGCCGAGGCAGAGCUGGAGCCACAGGCACCAGCCAGGCAGCAUCCUUUGGGGCAUGGGUGAGUGGCGAGCUGUGGAGUGCUGCCAGGAGGCUGGGAUUCCAGGCCAGGGACGGGGACAGCCCUGCUGGUGGAGAUGCCAGGCAGAGGGGACGCACACCUGCCCAUGCUCCUGCCUUGCAAGAGGGCGUCUGCCUGGGAUCAGAGCCUAGAGCGUGUGGGAGGAGAGUUGUGGGGUCCCGGCAUGGGCAGGGUGGCAGGUGGGUCCCGUGUGCUUGGGACUGGGCACGAGGAGGCCUUGUAACUGGUGCUGGAUCAGCUGGGUCAGGGGCCGCACACCAAUGACCUGGGGGUGAGGGUGCCCCUGGGUGGGAGCUGGUGGUGCUGAGGUGGCCGAGGACUUGUCCACUCCCAAGGGAAGGUGCUGGUGGGAGGGGGUGCCACCUCCGCAGCCACCACCCUCGAUGCUGACCUGGGUUGCACUGGCAUCUCAUUGGGCGUGGGGACUCCGAGAGUCCAAAAUUGGGUGGAGACAUUUGGGGACACAGCUGCCUGAAUUCCUCAUGGCCAAGGGGGUGGGCAAGGGCUGCAGGGAGGAAUAGUGUCCGCUGUCCUGGCCAGUGCACCAGGAACGGUUUUCUAACCCUGGCAGGAAGGUGUGAAGCAUUCAGGAUGUGGGGGCCACACAGUUCCCAGUGUGCACCUAGGGGUGACCAGGAGGAGGAGAGGCGCCAGGGCCUCCCUUACCCCCGCCCCAGGGGCACUCCGUAGGCAGGAUCCCUGCAGAUCCUAGCUAGGAAACGCCAGUGAACGGCAGCGCAGGGAACGGGGCGGGGCCGCUGGCUUCGCCCACCGCCACGGUGUUGGGGGCUGGGGGUGGCCCUCGGGACUGGUGUGGAGCCUGAGCCUGACCCACUGACUUGGCUGAGUGGGGAGACUGGAGGGUCGCAUCCGGAGCUGGGCCCGGGGACGCCCGCUGGUGGGAAGGGUGCGCGCGCGUCGGAGGCCGCGGCUGACCCUGCUCCGGCGCCGCCAGGUACGGCAUCAGCCCGGACAGCAUCAUCCUGUACGGGCAGAGCAUCGGCACGGUGCCCACCGUGGACCUGGCCUCGCGCUACGAGUGUGCCGCGGUGGUGCUGCACUCGCCGCUCACCUCGGGCAUGCGCGUCGCCUUCCCCGACACCAAGAAGACCUACUGCUUCGACGCCUUCCCUAACAUCGAGAAGGUGUCCAAGAUCACGUCUCCCGUGCUCAUCAUCCACGGCACGGAGGACGAGGUGAUCGACUUCUCGCACGGGCUGGCGCUCUACGAGCGCUGCCCCAAGGCGGUGGAGCCGCUGUGGGUGGAGGGCGCCGGGCACAACGACAUCGAGCUCUACAGCCAGUACCUGGAGCGCCUGCGUCGCUUCAUCUCCCAGGAGCUGCCCAGCCAGCGCGCCUAGCGGCGGCCCCAACCGGCCGGACCUCAGCAAUAAGGCGGCCCCCGGACCUCACCCCGCGCCGGCCCCCACCCAGGGGCUGCAUGUGGACCCCCCGGGCGGCCCAGGGGACCCCGCCCCGACCCAGGGGCUGUGGACGAUGUACAGGCAACAGAGCUACGCACUCCUUUCCUUUUGGAAGCAAGAAGAAAAUACGUGAAAACGGAAAUUAAAGAUUUAAAAUUUU
rnacentral:lncRNA from 1 species